rnacentral:piRNA from 1 species
UCCAAAAUCAGGUACUGGCAGGGUUGG